rnacentral:rRNA from 1 species
UACGUAGGGUGCGAGCGUUAAUCGGAAUUACUGGGCGUAAAGCGUGCGCAGGCGGUGAUGUAAGACAGGUGUGAAAUCCCCGGGCUUAACCUGGGAACUGCAUUUGUGACUGCAUUGCUGGAGUGCGGCAGAGGGGGAUGGAAUUCCGCGUGUAGCAGUGAAAUGCGUAGAUAUGCGGAGGAACACCGAUGGCGAAGGCAAUCCCCUGGGCCUGCACUGACGCUCAUGCACGAAAGCGUGGGGAGCAAACAGG